rnacentral:rRNA from 1 species
CGGGUGAGUAACACGUAGGCAACCUGCCCUGAAGCGGGGGAUAACAUCUGGAAACAGGUGCUAAUACCGCAUAACAACGAAAACCACAUGGUUUUCGUUUCAAAGAUGGUUUCGGCUAUCACUUCAGGAUGGGCCCGCGGUGCAUUAGCUAGUUGGUAAGGUAACGGCUUACCAAGGCGAUGAUGCAUAGCCGAGUUGAGAGACUGAUCGGCCACAUUGGGACUGAGACACGGCCCAAACUCCUACGGGAGGCAGCAGCC